rnacentral:rRNA from 1 species
AUACGUAGGGUGCGAGCGUUGUCCGGAAUUACUGGGCGUAAAGAGCUCGUAGGUGGUUUGUCGCGUCGUCUGUGAAAUUCCGGGGCUUAACUCCGGGCGUGCAGGCGAUACGGGCAUAACUUGAGUACUGUAGGGGAGACUGGAAUUCCUGGUGUAGCGGUGAAAUGUGCAGAUAGCAGGAGGAACACCGGUGGCGAAGGCGGGUCUCUGGGCAGUAACUGACGCUGAGGAGCGAAAGCAUGGGUAGCGAACAGGAUUAGAUACCCUGGUAGUCCAUGCCGUAAACGGUGGGCGCUAGGUGUAGGGGUCUUCCACGACUUCUGUGCCGUAGCUAACGCAUUAAGCGCCCCGCCUGGGGAGUACGGCCGCAAGGCUAAAACUCAAAGGAAUUGACGGGG